AGACAUCUGUUCCUUAGAUAUGAUAUUUCAUUUCAUGUUUGAUUUCAGAAUGUCUUAAAAUAAAUGAAUUGCUUCACCCAGAAUUGUUAUAUUCAUUGCACUGUCUGGCUUUUGCGGGUUCAUACAAAU
rfam:Apis mellifera strain DH4 linkage group 12, whole genome shotgun sequence.